CGGCGCGACCCUGCCGCGGCCCGCGCGGAGGUGUUUCGCUGCGCGGGUCCCCUGCGGCCCGCCCGCCGGGGGCUGGGGGGCACCGGUUCUGGGGUUGUGGUGUUCUCCUGCCUCCGGACAGCGGCACCGGCGCCUCAGGGAUCGCUGCAGAUGGGGUUAAAUCGGCGUUUGGCGAAUCCUUUUGGGAGGAGAGGGGCACAUGGCCCAACAACUCGGGCUCCAGCCCGUCUCGAAGACAUGGGCAGGCUAAUGCUGUAUUGAAUAUUGAGGGUUCACUGUAUUAAAAAAAAAAAAAAAAAAGAAGCUUUCUUUAACGUUAAGACCACCAGUGUAGCUCUUCAGGUGUCAGAUUAGGGUUGACAGUACUCUGUGAAAGAACUCUAUAAACUCUGUCUUAGCCUAUAAUCUCUAGCUUUAGGCUGUUUAGUAUACUUGAUUGGGAAAUGUCGUAGGAAUUUUUCUUCCUUUGUAUUCAUUAUUUCCUGCAAAAUUAUACAUUAUCUUUAAAAAGGGAUUGGCUCUGAUAGACUGGCUUGCAUUUUUCCUGUUCCUCAUUCCUGCAUGGGCCUCCCCCUACUCCUCCCUCCUCCACCCUUCUGCUGAAGCAGCGUGUAUAAAACUAAAACAGUUGAGAUCACUCAGUUCUGAAUUUCAGUUUAUUUCUUUAGGGUAUCAGUUAUGCAUACAUAAAUUGGAGAAAAAUUCUACUAUCUUCAGUGAUACUGUUUGCAUAGCUAAAUCUGUUUGCUUGUUUAUUUUCCUGUGGCGUUGUGCUUGUGGAAUGGAGAAAAAUCAAAGAAGCGGGCAAACUAGAAUUCCACAGCGAAGAAAAGUGACUUGGGAAGAAACUGCGUAGUGGUAAAGGAGUGUAAAAGUACUGCUGCUUCUGUAGUUCUUAACAGCUGCUUGCAUUCUACCUCACAACAAUUUACUGUAAGGCUUUAAUAAUAUUAUUACUUCAUCUUGUUUGUAUGGUUUAUGAGUUGUUUGCAUUGCUUCCUAUUUUAGUUAAUUAUUUUCUAAUCUGAUACAGGAAGU
rnacentral:lncRNA from 1 species